rnacentral:tRNA from 2 species
GCCCGCAUAGCUCAGUUGGUAGAGCACCUGAUUUGUAAUCAGGAUGUCGGGGGUUCGAUUCCCUCUGCGGGCUCCA